rnacentral:rRNA from 1 species
GACGAACGCUGGCGGCGUGCCUAAUACAUGCAAGUCGAACGCAGUGGGGACGGGUGAGUAACACGUGGGUAACCUCCCAUCAGAGGGGAUAACACUUGGAAACAGGUGCUAAACCGAUACUGAUGGAUGGACCCGCGGUGCAUUAGCUAGUUGGGGGGGUAACGGCUCACCAAGGCCACGAUGCAUAGCCGACCUGAGAGGGGGAUCGGCCACACUGGAACUGAGACACGGCCCAGACUCCUACGGGAGGCAGCAGUGGGGAAUCUUCGGCAAUGGACGAAAGUCUGAUCGAGCAACGCCGCGUGUGUGAAGAAGGUUUUCGGAUCGUAAAGCUCUGUUGUUAGAGAAGCGGUAUCUAAAGAAAAAGCAACGGCUAACUACGUGCCAGCAGCCGCGGUAAUUC